rfam:Pluralibacter gergoviae strain JS81F13 contig_16, whole genome shotgun sequence.
UGCAGGGUAAUUAACUGGCACGGGCGUCGGAGUUUACUCCACGCCCGUGCUCGUAUGUUAAGGGCAAUCAAAAAAGA